UGCUCAUUGUGGGUUGCUGACGAGAUGAGUAUGUGGAAGCACCGCAAGGUCACUGCUGCCCUUGUUUAUUGAUAGGUCACUGCUGCCCAACGUGCUGCAACAUGCCAUACACAGAAAGCUCAAUGACGUUAGAAAAGGUACAUCGCCUAAAAAAUAUGAAUUAGUUCUACAUAGAAGAGAUGCAAUAACCACCGAACCAGACGCGAAAUCUGGUUAGAUAACACCGACAUUAUCAAACGAAUUUCAGUGUUGCAGAGAAUCCAGAUUUUUCUGAACAACAGGACGGGCCCACAGCUGUCAACAGAAUCCUGGAGCAGAUCAUUCAGCUUGCCACAUUCCCGAAGUAUACAAUUCCUGAACUCCAAGCACUCGGUUUUUUAAAUUCUAUACAAAACGAGAUACUAGAAAGUUGAAAUGGUGGUAAUCCUCGAGAAUUCAUGAGUGCUGAAUAAGCAUCCGAGACAUCAUUUCAAACGAACCACAAUGAAAUCUACUGUGCUAAAAAUACUCUCUUCUUAUGACAAAGAAAAACAAACCCGACAACUCACCUUU
rnacentral:lncRNA from 1 species